GAACUCCGUGUUAAAUGACCUAAUGUUCUAAAGACAUUCUUCUUAUUAAUGGCACUGUAACAGGCUUUAUGAUUAAGAGUGCUGAUGGAAAAUGGAGUCCAAAACUGACAUCUCUGGAGACAAAGCAAAAGCCAAUCUGAAACACUGUCUGAUGCAAAAGCAAACAAUAUGGAGAAGCCAGUCAUCGUGACCAUGGUACAGUGCAGACAGGGAGAGAAAAACAGUCUCCCACUGCACAUCCUGCAGCAGGAAUCAUGGUGCAACCUCUUUAUCAAGCAGGUUCCCAGUCGCCAAGGUGGAGCUUGGUGAGGAAUGUCUGAGAAGCCCCAGAUUUGUAGAUGUAUGACUGCCUAGACUGGCACUUGCAUUUGAACGAUGCCUGCAAGUUGCAUCCAGCAGCAGAAGCUGGCCUGCUGGAGAACGGUGUCAAAAUUGAGUGCACUGCCCCUCUAUAAAUUACCAGGGCUUCAUUCCUCCGCGUCAAACAAAGAUUGUGAGGAGGUGAGCAGAGGCUAUAGAAAGGAGGUUACAUCAGGCAUGUUGUAGACAGUGCUGAAAUGUGUUUGUAACCUUGCCAGCUGGAUGGACAGCCUCUGCCCAGGGGGGACUCUUGAAAGCAGAUUCAAAGUCAUGCAUACAAGGGGGUGGGGAGGGGAGGGAAACAGAGAGGUGGGAUGUCAAAUUUCCAUAUAUUUCCAUGAGCUUACUGUCAUUUCUCCCUAGCAUGUCACUAGCAGAAUAUUACAAGGCUUUCCUGCACUAGUCCUGCCUAUUAAAAGCAUACCCUGACCUAGAUGCUUCAUUUCCCCCAGAAAACAAAUGCAUAUUGUGGAAAGAGCGUAGAUGCUGCCUGGAGCUUGUAGAAAACAUUCCUUGUCAUGGUUUGCUUGUUUGUGCUUGUUGCAGUUGCUGUUCUAAGCCAUUCAAAGCAAUUAAGCAACUAUAAACAGGGAUAUCCUUGUCACCCUUUGAGUGUAUCGAGGAUUUGAUUCAACAUCACCCAAGUACAAAGGUGCCUUGUGCAAACAGUCAGAUACUCAUCACGUUGACAAGCCUUACAGGUGUUACAGUCUGCAUCACUGAAGUACCUGCAGCCACAGCCCUGGGUGGAAAUCCACAGUGCCAAGCUCCAUCCAGAGGGCCUUGACUGAGGAGCUUACAUUGUGAACAUGUCUGAGCAAGUGGCAUCAUUAAAAAUAGCAAAUAAGAGCAUUCAACACUUUAUAAAAGGGGCUUACAGCAAGGGCUAGUCCCUGAAACUUUCCUCCUCUCAAAGCCUCAGGGAAGAAGAAACCUCACAGAUAGAUACCUCAUCCCAAAUAGGGUUUAUCGUGGACACAGCACGCAGCUCAAGCCCAGCCCUCCAUCCUGCCACCACCAACACACCAUCGUCAGCUCUGCUCCAUUGAAAACCAGAGGGAUAGCUCUGUCCAGGGAGCCUUGAAGAUGGGGUUCUCAAAGCAGGGUUACUUUAAACAUGCAUUUUUCCGUGUUUCAAAAUGUGCAUAGCAACCAAAUCCUGAGUGGACAAUGGACUACUUUGUAGCCUGCACUAAAGGCUGAGGGAUGCCAUGCCUGAUCCACCAGCUGAGGCUUGUAAGGGACAGAUAAAAAUCUGCUCUUCCUCCUGCUGAAUCCAUGACACAGUUCUUGCAGGAAGGACAGGUCUCCUCCAUCCCCAAAAUCCAGUGUCAUCAGCAUUCCUGUCACUGCAGUGACUCACAGCUCCUUCACUGGCCUGUCAGGAUGGAGAUUAGGGAACUAGUUUUUCUAAUUCUCAUGCCCCAGAACAAUAUAAGGUAUGUCCUA